AAGGAAUGGUGUCUUCUAAAUGAAUGUACUCGUUCACAUGUGGAAUCUGGCUUCUUCACAAACAGCAAGCCAAUUUUUCUUCAUUGUUUGCUUCCUUCCUCUCUUCUCCCUUCAUUUUCAAAGACAUGUACUGAGCAGCAACUGUGUAUCCAGCAUCAUCAUUAACGCAGGGAUCUCUGUAGGAUUUGUAGGAAUUUCCUGAGGACCUAGCAUAUGAUCCACACUUUACCAGGAUGAUGGGAAGAUGCGAUCAGAAGAAACAAUGGCAGACACUGCUUCUGAUCAUAAGGAACCCCAAAGACAUACCAGUCUAGGAGCUCAUUCCGGACUGGGGUACAUUCAUCAAAUUAAAAGUAAAAAAGAAUCCUACUAACAAAAUAAAGUUUGCACAUAUUCCCAUGCUUUUGCCAAGCCUUAUUAAUUAAUGCUGUCAGACUCGACAAAGACUAUGUUUGAUGAGAACAAUUUCCUUUAAUUAUUUUGUACUUCUCCAGGGUAAGUAAUCCAGUCUCAUAAAAAAACGACGAACAGUAACAACAACAGAAAUGUAAUCUCAGCAAACAAAUCCAACUGCACUGACACUCAGACCCAAGGGCUCCGUGUGGUGAACACAAGCACCUUCAGACAGGAAGUGAUCUAGGAUCAUUAGUCGCCGAUGAUUCCCGAGAAGCCCAGGGGGCACUGACAUUCAGAGGGACUGACUGUCUCUAGGGCUCAGAAGCCCAAAUGGUGUGUUUCCUCCUCAACUAGAGGUCACCCGGAGACAGCCAAAGUGAAAAGAACAAUGGCAGGAAAGCCUGGAACCUCCUUAAUGAGGCUCCCGUGUGUAGGGCUGCUGGGCUGUGUCGCUCCCGGGACCCAACCGACACUGGCAUCUGGACAUGUGUGCAAGGAACGGAGGGAACACUGGCAGUGGCUGGAGACAGUUCUGGCGAUCAUGACUGAGGGUGGUGGCUGCUACUGGCAUCGAGUGGACAGAGGUCUGGGAAGCUGUUCGGUGCCCCACACUGCACAGGGGGUCCCCAACACAGACAAUUAGCCAGCCUCCGACGGGACCGGUGUCACUGGUGAGAAGCCCUGCUUUACUGUAGUAGCUCAUUAUGCAAAUAUAUUGGAGAUAAAGAGAGGGGAAAAAAAUCAUACUCCUUUCAUUUGGACAAAUCCUACAACUACAACUUCAUAAAUGUUCAACCCCAUUACAAAGAUACUACUUAAAUCUAUUAGUCUUCUUUUCGGCUGACUACAAUAUUCUAAAUUGUUAAGGUGCGCCACUACUGAAAGUAAUACUAAAUUUUUUU